rnacentral:rRNA from 1 species
UAGGGAAUCUUCCACAAUGGACGCAAGUCUGAUGGAGCAACGCCGCGUGAGUGAAGAAGGUUUUCGGACCGUAAAGCUCUGUUGUUGGUGAAGAAGGAUAGAGGUAGUAACUGGCCUUUAUUUGACGGUAAUCAACCAGAAAGUCACGGCUAACUACGUGCCAGCAGCCGCGGUAAUACGUAGGUGGCAAGCGUUGUCCAGGAUUUAUUGGGCGUAAAGCGAGCGCAGGCGGAAGAAUAAGUCUGAUGUGAAAGCCCUCGGCUUAACCGAGGAAUUGCAUCGGAAACUGUUUUCUUGAGUGCAGAAGAGGAGAGUAGAACUCCAUGUGUAGCGGUGGAAUGCGUAGAUAUAUGGAAGAAUACCAGUGGCGAAGGCGGCUCUCUGGUCUGCAACUGACGCUGAGGCUCGAAAGCAUGGGUAGCGAACAGGAUUAGAUACCCUGGUAGUCCAUGCCGUAAACGAUGAGUGCUAAGUGUUGGGAGGCUUCCGCCUCUCAGUGCUGCAGCUAACGCAUUAAGCACUCCGCCUGGGGGAGUACGACCGCAAGGUUGAAAC